rnacentral:rRNA from 1 species
AAAUGAAUAGACGGGGGCCCGCACAAGCGGUGGAGUAUGUGGUUUAAUUCGACGCAACGCGAAGAACCUUACCAGGGCUCAAACUGCAGGGUAAACCCUCCGAAAGGAGGGCUGCUUCGGCGAUCCUGUAGAGGUGCUGCAUGGCUGUCGUCAGCUCGUGUCGUGAGAUGUUGGGUUAAGUCCCGCAACGAGCGCAACCCUUGUCCUUAGUUACCAGCGCGUCAUGGCGGGGACUCUAAGGAGACUGCCGUCGCAAGACGGAGGAAGGUGGGGAUGAUGUCAAGUCCUCAUGGCCCUUAUGUCCUGGGCUACACACGUACUACAAUGGGAUGUACAACGAGUCGCGAGGCCGCGAGGUCAAGCUAAUCUCUCAAAGCAUCCCCCAGUUCAGAUUGCAGUCUGCAACCCGACUGCAUGAAGUCGGAAUCGCUAGUAAUCGCGGAUCAGCACGCCGCGGUGAAUACGUUCCCGGGCCUUGUACACACCGCCCGU